rnacentral:rRNA from 1 species
GAUGAACGCUGGCGGCGUGCCUAAUACAUGCAAGUCGAGCGAACGGACGAGAAGCUUGCUUCUCUGAUGUUAGCGGCGGACGGGUGAGUAACACGUGGAUAACCUACCUAUAAGACUGGGAUAACUUCGGGAAACCGGAUCUAAUACCGGAUAAUAUUUUGAACCGCAUGGUUCAAAAGUGAAAGACGGUCCUGCUGUCACUUAUAGAUGGAUCCGCGCUGCAUUAGCUAGUUGGUAAGGUAACGGCUUACCAAGGCAACGAUGCAUAGCCGACCUGAGAGGGUGAUCGGCUACACUGGAACUGAGACACGGUCCAGACUCCUACGGGAGGAAGCAGUAGGGAAUCUUCCGCAAUGGGCGAAAGCCUGACGGAGCAACGCCGCGUGAGUGAUGAAGGUCUUCGGAUCGUAAAACUCUGUUAUUAGGGAAGAACAUAUGUGUAAGUAACUGUGCACAUAUUGACGGUACCUAAUCAGAAAGCCACGGCUAACUACGUG